CGAACCGAUCGUCUCAAACAAUGUCGUUUUGAUCUAACCGAUCUAAACGAUGUCUCAUACCCAUCUUCUAGAAAAGAUCAAAAAAAAAAAAUUUCGAUUCUGAGCUUUUAACGAAAGAGGGAGGCGAGACGACAAUGGCGGAUCGGUUCUUCGAAAACAAACGUGAUUCGCUUAGUAAUCUGUGGGGAAUAUUGCUUUUGUUCAUCAACAUACAAAUACGUUGGCAAAGAAACUCUGUCUUCAGAUUCAAUUAAGGAAGAUCAAUGGCUAAAGGAUGCAAGCUCAUUCACUUAUGUUUGAAUGGUAUGGCAAAAGGUAGUGCAGCACGUGGGCGCUUGCUGGUAUUAUGCACGUUUUUAUAAAUGUUCAGCUGAAGCCAGACGAGGCAGAGGAUGCCAAGGGAACACUUCAAGUAUAUAAUCAAGAAUCGGUUUCCAAGUGGAAAUUACCUUCCUAGUGAACAAGAUAACAGGAAACAUGUUCUCGUGCAUUAGUGAACAAAACAAGAGUUCCUUCCUUGGCCGAGGAAUGUGAGCGUGAAGCUUAGAAAAAAGAGACACAGAGUCAUUCCAAUUCUGCUCACAUAAAGCAGUGGUUUCCGGCCAACAGCCACAGUUGCAGCGAGCAGUUUUGUCUCGCCUUGUAUCCCUGCUUCUCUCAGGAUCUCUGGCGUAUAGUAGACGGUGGCGUCGAUACCUGUGAUCUGCUGGAAACAUUGGAUCAAAAACCCAACGAUCAGCAUUUUCCGUACUAUAGGAGAUGGGCUUAGAAGAAGCUCACGCCACACCGGUCUCUCUUCCUCGCUGCCUUCUGUAUGUGCAGCCGCCAGUUGUAUCUCUGCGCGACGCUCUUCUGCUUCGUCAUCUCGCUAGUUUGUUUUCAUGAGCCCCUCUCGUGCACUGUCCACUCGGCCUUUCAUGACCAGCCACCUCGGCGACUCAGGGAUCACACACAGCGCAAAUCCUACGAAAACGGAAGGAAGAAUACCAACUGCAAGCAUGAUCCUCCAGCUGGGAUCAUCAAUUCACCAUUAAGACCUUGGUGCAGGCUGAGCAAUGAACGUGGGGACAUCCUCUCUCGGCAUUAUGAACCUCUAUCUGUCACUUUUUAGAUUAACAAAUGUUCAAAUGUGUUCGUUGAUACUUUCAUUUGAAACCAUGUGAUAUCUUUUGUUUCUCAUUGCAUCAUCAAUGAUACUUUUUCCAUGGA